rnacentral:rRNA from 1 species
CUCCUACGGGAGGCGGCAGUAGGGAAUCUUGCGCAAUGGGCGAAAGCCUGACGCAGCAACGCCGCGUGGGGGAUGAAGGCCUUCGGGUUGUAAACUCCUUUCAGCGGGAACGAAAAUGACGGUACCCGCAGAAGAAGCCCCGGCCAACUACGUGCCAGCAGCCGCGGUAAUAC